AUUGAACGCUGGCGGCAGGCCUAACACAUGCAAGUCGAGCGAGCGGCGGACGGGUGAGUAAUGUCUGGGAAACUGCCUGAUGGAGGGGGAUAACUCUUGGAAACGGUAGCUAAAACCGCAUACCCUCAGAUGUGCCCAGAUGGGAUUAGCUGGUGGGUGGGGUAACGGCUCACCUAGGCGACGAUCCCUAGCUGGUCUGAGAGGAUGACCAGCCACACUGGAACUGAGACACGGUCCAGACUCCUACGGGAGGCAGCAGUGGGGAAUAUUGCACAAUGGGCGCAAGCCUGAUGCAGCCAUGCCGCGUGUGUGAAGAAGGCCUUCGGGUUGUAAAGCACUUUCAGCGGGGAGGCGUUACCCGCAGAAGAAGCACCGGCUAACUCCGUGCCAGCAGCCGCGGUAAUAC
rnacentral:rRNA from 1 species